GCGCUAUAUACAAACAUACGGUCGAGGAGGAGAAAGCAGUUGUUAAACCUUGUAGAAUGAGCAGAAAAUACUUUUUAAUCUUCACUUAGUAAUUCAAUUUACCAAGGGGCUGUAUUUAAAGCUACAUUAAUAAUACUUCGAUCUCCUUGGCCAAAGAGGCCAUCUCUGUUUGGAAGAAGUGGUCCGAUGAGGUACAUCCAGAGAGCUUUCCUUCCUCCCGUCUCGUCCACCUGCAUCAGAGGUCCACUUCCUUGAGUCUUGACCAUCAGCAGCCUCCGGCGGCAGGACACAAUCGGAUGAGGUGGGCCCCAUACAUAUCUUCACCUUGGGCCCCCAAUUUGCUAAAUCCGCCACUGUUGGGGGUAAACGACCAUUUGAACACGAUUCAGGAAACCCCCUCUCACCCCUCUAACCCCCUCCCUCUCCUCAUCUCUCUCACCCCUCUUACCCCGUCCAUCUCUUCAUCUCUCUCACCCCUCUCACCCAUUCCUCUCCUUACCCCUCCCUCUCCUCA
ensembl:lncRNA